CGGGACGGGUGAGUAAUGUCUGGGAAACUGCCUGAUGGAGGGGAUAACUACUGGAAACGGUAGCUAAUACCGCAUAACGUCGCAAGACCAAAGAGGGGGACCUUCGGGCCUCUUGCCAUCGGAUGUGCCCAGAUGGGAUUAGCUAGUAGGUGGGGUAAAGGCUCACCUAGGCGACGAUCCCUAGCUGGUCUGAGAGGAUGACCAGCCACACUGGAACUGAGACACGGUCCAG
rnacentral:rRNA from 1 species